rnacentral:rRNA from 1 species
UACGUAGGGUCCGAGCGUUGUCCGGAAUUAUUGGGCGUAAAGGGCUCGUAGGCGGUCUGUUGCGUCGGGAGUGAAAACUUACAGCUUAACUGUGAGCGUGCUUCCGAUACGGGCAGACUUGAGGUAUUCAGGGGAGAACGGAAUUCCUGGUGUAGCGGUGAAAUGCGCAGAUAUCAGGAGGAACACCGGUGGCGAAGGCGGUUCUCUGGGACGGUACUGACGCUGAGACGCGAAAGCGUGGGGAGCGAACAGG